GGGGGGGGGGGGGGGGGGGGGGGGGGGGGGGGGGGCGGGCGGGGGAGGGGGGCGGGGGGCGGGGGGCGGCGGCGGGCGGGGGAGUAAUGCGGGGGAAGCUGCCUGGGAGGGGGGGAUAACGUCCGGAAACGGGCGCUAAUACCGCAUACGGCCUGAGGGAGAAAGUGGGGGAUCGUCGGACCUCAGGCUAUCAGAGGAGCCGAGGUCGGAUUAGCUAGUUGGUGGGGGAAAGGCCUACCAAGGCGACGAUCCGUAACUGGUCUGAGAGGAUGAGCAGUCACACUUGAACUGAGACACGGUCCAGACUCCUACGGGAGGCAGCAGUGGGGAAUAUUGGACAAUGGGCGAAAGCCUGAUCCAGCCAUGCCGCGUGUGUGAAGAAGGUCUUCGGAUUGUAAAGCACUUUAAGUUGGGAGGAAGGGCAGUAAGUUAAUACCUUGCUGUUUUGACGUUACCAACAGAAUAAGCACCGGCUAACUUCGUG
rnacentral:rRNA from 1 species